rnacentral:rRNA from 2 species
CCUAAUACAUGCAAGUCGAGCGGACAGAAGGGAGCUUGCUCCCGGAUGUUAGCGGCGGACGGGUGAGUAACACGUGGGUAACCUGCCUGUAAGACUGGGAUAACUCCGGGAAACCGGAGCUAAUACCGGAUAGUUCCUUGAACCGCAUGGUUCAAGGAUGAAAGACGGUUUCGGCUGUCACUUACAGAUGGACCCGCGGCGCAUUAGCUAGUUGGUGAGGUAACGGCUCACCAAGGCGACGAUGCGUAGCCGACCUGAGAGGGUGAUCGGCCACACUGGGACUGAGACACGGCCCAGACUCCUACGGGAGGCAGCAGUAGGGAAUCUUCCGCAAUGGACGAAAGUCUGACGGAGCAACGCCGCGUGAGUGAUGAAGGUUUUCGGAUCGUAAAGCUCUGUUGUUAGGGAAGAACAAGUGCAAGAGUAACUGCUUGCACCUUGACGGUACCUAACCAGAAAGCCACGGCUAACUACGUGCCAGCAGCCGCGGUAAUACGUAGGUGGCAAGCGUUGUCCGGAAUUAUUGGGCGUAAAGGGCUCGCAGGCGGUUUCUUAAGUCUGAUGUGAAAGCCCCCGGCUCAACCGGGGAGGGUCAUUGGAAACUGGGAAACUUGAGUGCAGAAGAGGAGAGUGGAAUUCCACGUGUAGCGGUGAAAUGCGUAGAGAUGUGGAGGAACACCAGUGGCGAAGGCGACUCUCUGGUCUGUAACUGACGCUGAGGAGCGAAAG